AACGAACGCUGGCGGCAGGCCUAACACAUGCAAGUCGAACGCUGCAGCAAUGCAGAGUGGCAGACGGGUGAGUAACGCGUGGGAACCUUCCCAGUGGUACGGAAUAGCCCAGGGAAACUUGGGGUAAUACCGUAUAAGCCCCUAGGGGGGAAAGAUUUAUCGCCAUUGGAUGGGCCCGCGUCGGAUUAGCUAGUUGGUGAGGUAACGGCUCACCAAGGCGACGAUCCGUAGCNGGUCUGAGAGGAUGAUCAGCCACACUGGGACUGAGACACGGCCCAGACUCCUACGGGAGGCAGCAGUGGGGAAUAUUGGACAAUGGGCGAAAGCCUGAUCCAGCCAUGCCGCGUGAGUGACGAAGGCCUUAGGGUUGUAAAGCUCUUUUGGCGGGGACGAUAAUGACGGUACCCGCAGAAUAAGCUCC
rnacentral:rRNA from 1 species